AUGUCGUACGUCGACGGCUUCCCCACGGAUAAGUUCUUCCUCCGAUUCAAUUACAUAUUCGACAUGUUUCACGUGAAGAAGCUGGAUUUUACGUUUGUCCGCCUUUAUGCCUUGCACAUGAACUACAUCAUUGAGGUUGAGCAGAUACGUUUUAUAUGUGUCGCUGACCCAUACUACAUGCACGAGGGCUUCUUGGGAGUCUGUGCACAACAUCGUGAAUACGCGAGGGAUUACAUCGUCUGUUUCAUGCUCGCCAAUCAGGACAAGGAGGUGAUUCUCGUGCCUUAUCAUCCCAUGUAA
rnacentral:rRNA from 1 species